GAUGAACGCUGGCGGCGUGCCUAACACAUGCAAGUCGAGCGAUCUUCUUCGGAAGAGAGCGGCGGACGGGUGAGUAACGCGUGGGUAACCUGCCCUGUACACACGGAUAACAUACCGAAAGGUAUGCUAAUACGAGAUGAUAUGCUUUCAUCGCAUGGUAGAAGUAUCAAAGCUCCGGCGGUACAGGAUGGACCCGCGUCUGAUUAGCUAGUUGGUAAGGUAACGGCUUACCAAGGCGACGAUCAGUAGCCGACCUGAGAGGGUGAUCGGCCACAUUGGAACUGAGACACGGUCCAAACUCCUACGGGAGGCAGCAGUGGGGAAUAUUGCACAAUGGGCGAAAGCCUGAUGCAGCAACGUCGCGUGAGCGAUGAAGGCCUUCGGGUCGUAAAGCUCUGUUCUCAAGGAAGAUAAUGACGGUACUUGAGGAGGAAGCUCCGGCUAACUACGUGCCAGCAGCCGCCGUAA
rnacentral:rRNA from 1 species